AAAAGAAAAACAAAAGGCAAUAGAUAUUUAUGAAACCUGUAUUAUGUACCAGGAUAGCGAUUUAUGCUACUUGUUAUAUAAUAUCUUGUUUUUCCUCUUCUUCUUCUUCUUCUUC
rnacentral:ribozyme from 12 species